AACGCUCCGACUGACUGAGCUGGCCUGCUUGCCUGCCUAGCUAGCACACCACCGAAGCCUAGUCGCUGGUCGCAGCUGCUGCGCGGCGUCCAUCGUGUCCUCGUCGUCUUCUUCUCUCCAUACCGGAAGACCUCUCGCGCCACGCCACACCCCUACUACUUUACCCUCUCUCCUGCCGCUCUACUCCAGAUCUCGAGGUCCACCGCGCGGGUCCGCUUGCCGCCCGAGAGGUUUCACUUUAUGCCACUUUGUGUGACUGUGGACAAUGGAGUGAUUGCUGCCCUCUUUCUGUGAGUCACCAUGGGAAGCAGUGAAGCAGAGACACCUGCUAAGGCAAACAAGGCAUCCGCACCUCAGGAGCAGCAGCCACCUGCUACUUCGAGUACUGCAACACCGACAGUUUACCCAGAUUGGACCAGCUUUCAGGGAUAUCCUCCAAUUCCACCACAUGGGUUCUUUCCCUCUCCCGUGGUGUCAAACCCACAGGGUCAUCCAUACAUGUGGGGACCUCAGCCUAUGAUGCCACCAUAUGGGAGUCCACCAUAUGUCAUAUACCCUCCUGGAGGAAUUUAUGCUCACCCAUCAAUGCGACCGGGUGCACACCCAUUUGCUCCCUAUACCAUGACUUCUCCAAACGGCAAUCCUGAUGCUGCUGGAACUACCACCACUGCUGCUACUGCUGGUGGUGAAACAAAUGGCAAAUCCUCCGAAGGAAAAGAAAAAAGUCCCAUUAAAAGAUCCAAAGGAAGUUUGGGUAGCUUGAACAUGAUUACAGGGAAAAACUGUGUCGAACAUGGUAAGACCUCAGGGGCAUCAGCCAAUGGAACCAUCUCUCAAAGUGGGGAAAGUGGAAGUGAAAGUUCAAGUGAGGGAAGUGAAGCGAAUUCUCAGAAUGAUUCACAACACAAGGAAAGUGGACAAGAACAAGAUGGAGAUGUCCGAAGUUCCCAGAAUGGUGUAUCACCUUCACCAUCCCAGGCGCAGUUGAAGCAAACUUUGGCAAUUAUGCAAAUGCCAUCAAGUGGUCCAGUGCCUGGCCCAACAACAAACUUGAACAUAGGAAUGGACUACUGGGCAAAUACAGCAAGCUCCUCUCCUGCAUUGCAUGGUAAAGUGACCCCAACUGCAAUUCCAGGGGCUGUGGCCCCAACAGAGCCGUGGAUGCAGGAUGAACGUGAACUGAAAAGGCAGAAAAGAAAGCAGUCAAACAGGGAUUCUGCUCGCAGAUCUAGGCUGCGCAAGCAGGCUGAAUGUGAGGAGUUGGCUCAGCGGGCUGAAGUAUUGAAACAGGAAAAUGCUUCACUUAAAGAUGAAGUGAGCCGGAUCAGAAAGGAGUACGAUGAACUUCUGUCAAAGAAUAGCUCACUGAAGGAUAACGUUGGAGACAAACAACACAAAACUGAUGAGGCAGGACUUGACAAUAAGCUGCAACAUUCUGGUGAUGACAGCCAGAAGGACACUAAUUGAGCUAUCAUGCAAUGCUAUCAGAUCAUAGCCCUAACUAGAUUGUUGCUGGCGCAGUUGUAGUAUGCGUAUUGACUCCAUACUUAUUGCAUUUAAUUAUUACCAGGUCGUGGUAAAUCUUAAUGCCAGCCUCGUGUGCUGGUUCCUGUUUCACACAUGUCUUGGCUUAUCUUUUAGAAGUCAAGAUGUGACUGAAAAUGUAGGUUGUGAACCAGUUCACUGUAUCUGUUAGAAAUUGUUGGUACUUUCAACUUUACAGAUCUGUAUUGCUGAUUGUUAUUGUUAUGUAUACCUGAAGAAAUAUCAGUCUUUUAAUAGUCAGGUUGCUGUUUGGCCAGGCUUGACUGGUGCGUAGGUUAUGUUAAAUAUGAAUGCAUCAAUCUUUCCCACACAUUUGAUAUGAUAUAGUGAACAAAUGGAGGACUUCUGCUUUGCCGAGUGUCUCAAACGUUGUAACUAUCAGAGACUAUCUUUUUUUGUUUCAAUUUUUCAGUUUUGCUUCUUUCAAUUCACCUGAGUUGUGCUGUGGGUAUGCUAAAUUUUGGAUGGUGAUCAGAAUAUUCGUUUCUAGCUGUGCUUAUGCUAAAUUUUGGAGUGGUGAUCAGAAUAUUCGUUUCAAGCUCAUAAACUGCUUUGCCAUAUGCACUGUUGGUAAAAAAAAUGUGUUCUUAAUUCUCACUGAUAACAAUUUGUUUUGACCUUUAUGUGUUGGGAGUAGUAUUUAGCUUAAAUUGUGAUUGCCAUGAUCCAAAUAAAAUGUUUACCAUUCGGCACCUCUCCUUAACAGUUGUAUUCAGUUUGUGUGCAGGAAUGAAGUUCUAGGAACAUGAUGGAAAUUUCUCUCAUGGAAUAAGCUGUGCUUAGCAUAGGUAUGUCUGCCCUACAAGGAAAUAGUUUAUUUGGGAGUUCUGUUUGUAUAAGUUGUCAAUUAUGAUCUCUUGACUAAUGUUUUAUUGCAAGUGUCUCAGUAUAGUACUCCAGAAAGAGUUCUUUUAUCCAUAACAAGCCAAAACACUAGUAGGUUGAACUAGUCGUUGAGGAACGGAGACAUAUCUGUUGAGCAUGGAUCUGCCCCUGGAUCCUAGAAAAUGGAGAACAUCAAAACUAUCAUCAAGGUAGUACAAGAUGAUCGAGGUUGUAAUGCACAACUGAGUUCUGUGGGCAUUCUGCUGAUUCCAGAGUUGAGAUGUUUGCAGCAGAAGCUGCCUCUAGUGCUAGAGUUGUUGGAGCUGUGUAGGAGGGGUAUGCUGAACUAUUCCUCUUCGUGUCACUGUUGGCCUUAAAAGUCCAUCUAUUCCGUGGCACCUGAAGUUCCUCAGCGGCAGAUUUCUGGACUGGUGAGCUAAAUGUUGUUCAAGUAAAGCUUCUGGUGCUCCCUUUUGGUUACUGUGAUCAUCUGGUUUGUGUGGUGUGUGCGAAGUAUCAUUCCGUUGGGAAGCCGGCUGAGGUCAUUGAACAUGAGAGACGCUGGGAUGGAGUGCCGCAGCCGGAGUGUAGGCAGUAGCAGAAGGUAUGGGCUCUGAUAUUUGCUCCUCUACAAUCCACUAUUAUGGGUGUUGGACAGGAUGAGUGUACUGCCCAUGCACUUAUUUCCUGCUUGAACUACUACUGCGGCACAGGCUUUGCGCAUGCUUGAGAGGUUGGUGCACCGUCAGCUGUUAAGGUGGCGCUAACUGUUCUGGUGUGUAGGCUGAAACAUCAUGCGAUUGAUUUCAUCAAUUAGUCUAACUAAUGAUAACUCAGCAAAUGAAGGUGGCCUCACAUUGCGCUGUAGCCUUGGGAGUUUGGUUGCCAACAAAGUUUCCACGUACUAAGAGUCUGUUUGAGUGCUCUUGUCCGCGGCUCCAACCAACCAAACACCUAUUUUUUGGUGGAGCAACUAGUUAGGGGCACCCCUGGUUAACGAACCAACAUGUGUGUGCCUGCUCGAGGAUGAUGUACCAGCGUUCGCCAAUUAUAGUUCAAAAUUUGAAUUGUGCCAUGGAAUAUUACAGUUUGGACCUUUUACUCCACCAAUUUGUUGAUUUCUACUGUUUUUUCUUUUUAAGGAAGUUCGUUCCUGAUGUGGAUUAUCCCACGUUCAUCUCCAUGGACCCACCGUUGUCUUAUCAAGCACCAAGUGGACUGAUGACAAGAGCUCGUGCGGACAUUCGGCCUAGGGCCCGGACAUCUGGGGUCUUUUGUUGGGCUGGACAUCUAUGCCCCAACCCUGUCACUCGGCACCUGUGCGUGCGCAACCGGGCCAAAGGCUUCAUGUAUCCCCUCUCCUCUUAUUUCGUGGAACACUAUAUAUAGACCCCCUCCAUCUAGUUAGGAUCAGCAACGAUCAUGAUGAAUUAAAGGGGAGCUUUGCUCAUCUACCCUUCUUGGAGAAUCAAGACCUCCUCUUGGAGAAGAUCCCUCUAGAGGAUAUCGGCCUCCUUAAGGAGAAGAUCCCCCAAGUGGAUAUCAACACCUCAACUUCUUCAAGGAUUGAGAUGAACUAGUUCCUAUUUACCUUCUUGUGUUGGAUUUAGACCUUUGUAUCCCUCUAUGUGUAUGUGAAUUUAGCACACAUGUGAUUGGAUCUUGAUCAAUUGAGUAUUUUUGUGU
rnacentral:rRNA from 1 species